rnacentral:lncRNA from 1 species
AUCCUGCAUGAAGUUUUCGCUGCCCUGAAAGAGAAGGUGGCUUCAAUGGCUCCAGAGGAGAAAUAUGCGUGUCUCUUAAUGGACGAAGUACAGAUUUCGCCUGGACUGGAUUACGACGCGUCGACAGGGAGCAUCAUAGGGCAGCCAACAGUGAGCCCUUCGAACCCAGGCACAAAGCACCAACUUGCAAACGAUGCACUCGUUUUCAUGCUAGCUGGGCUAACAAGCAGGUGGAAACAAGCCGUUGCUUAUCAGCUCACAUCUUCAUCUUUUGAUGCAGAGGAAGUAAAGGACUGCCUUUUUGACGUAAUUAAGCAUUCCGGAGCUGUAGGCAUAACAGUCAGUGCGGUGGUGACUGGCAUGGUGCCUGGCAACACGGCAAUUUGGCGACUGUGUGGUAUACAAGCCUCAAAGUAUGGAAAACAAAAAAAUCUCCUGCCCUCACCCUUGUGGCAAUGGAAGGCAGCUGUAUUUUCUUGCUGACGCCCCUCAUCUCUUGAAGAAUCUCAGAGGCCAUCUUAUUCGAGGCCAGGAGAUCAUUCUACACAACACCACUGUUAAAAAAGAGAACCUUCCAAGCAACAAGGUCUCGCUAGAACACAUAAAGAAGGCCUGUGAACUUGAUGCCAAGCACCAGCUGAAGCUCAUGCCUUACUUGAAGCUACGUGACUUGGACCCUA